UGCCGAGUGGUGUAACGGUAGCACACGGGACUUUGGAUCCUUUGGUCCAGGUUCGAAUCCUGGCUCGGCAGCCA
rnacentral:tRNA from 2 species